rnacentral:lncRNA from 1 species
UUGGUUCUUCGAUACCACCCUGACGUUUGUCCUGCUUCCUCCAAAGAUGAAUCCACGAAAAGGUUUUUGGAACUCCAAAUGGCUUACGAGACGCUUUCGGAUCCAAUUUCUCGUAAACUGUAUGAUUACGAAUUGGGUUUAGUUGGAGCUAGGAAUUAUUUUAUGGAAGAUAGAAUAUCGAAAUUUCCGAGAGAUGUGGAUUAAAGAAACGGUCUCAUGCUAGGAUGCAGAGGAGGCAAAAUAUGUACAGGUAGAAAUUGAAGGCUUUUGCAUUAAUUUUCUUUUAGAAGAAUAAAGCAUAGAUGUUGGAUGUUUAAGUCAGAUAUUUGUAUUAAUCAUAUUGUUAAUAUACAUUAAUUUCCAUUAUUAGUUAAUCGACAAUUAAGAACCUAUUUUUGUGCACUUAUUGGCGCCUCACUAAGGGAGUGGGGGACUUGAAAUUUAACGAACUUAAUUUUAUAUUGAGCAAAGUGGCAUUAAGACACCCAAAUUGCUAAUUCAUGGGCCUCUCCCAUAGAUUUAAUAAUCUGAACUUCAUUUUAUUAGUAUUAUCUUUUUAUCAUUGGAGCAAAGGUUAUAAGCUUUAUCUGAAAGUUCAUACUAAUGGGUUGUUUCAUGUUAAUGUAAUUCAGUGGGCAGUAUAUACCAUAAUAAAUUUCAAAUGUUCAUCUAGUUAAAAGUACCUCAUCUGGUACCUUCUAGAUUUGGAUAAAUAAUGUUUAUCCAGUUAAAAAUACCUCAUCUGGUACCUUCUUGCAUAUACCGUAAUAAAUUUCAAAUGUAACUCAUCUGGUACCUUCUAGAUUUGGUUCAAUAAUGUUUAUCUAGUUAGGACCUGGUUGUUUUUCUUUUUAUGGGUUUCACUCAUAUUUGAUCGGUUUAAAUCUUUUUAGAAUGUAUUAAAUGACUUUUGUUAAAAGUUUUAUAAAAUUAGUCUUUAUACAUUAGAUGAGUGAGUAAAAAAGUCUCUAUAUUAAAAUUGUACUUUUAAAUAUUUGUUUUGGUGUUUAUAUAUAAGGUAUAAUAAUAUAUUUAGCUCUUAACCUUUAAACAUUUAUUCAAUUUGACCCCUACAUUUUUAUUGGAAGUAAUUUUUUUUUAAACUAAUAAGCUAAAUAGUCAAAAAGGCUUUAAUAACAAAUUAAAAAAAUUUAAUUAAGCCAUUUUAAAUUUUUAAAAUUAUGAACAAAAUUUUAAAAAAAGUUAUAUAUUUUUUAAAUUAUAUAUUUUUAUUAAAAAUAACAGUACCGACUCAACAAAAGAGUAGGGGUCAAUUUUUUAAAAGAAAUCUUAUAACCAAUAGAUUUUAAUGGGUAGGUAUUGUUUUUUUUUUAACAAAAAUUUUAUAAUUUUAGAUUUUUUAUAACUUUUUUUUAUAAAUUUUGUUUAUAAUUUUUAUGAUUUUUAAAUAAUUUUUAAAUUUUAAAAGGGCUUAAUUGAUUUUUUUUAAAUUUGUUACUAAGGCCUUUUUUACCCUUUAGCCUAAUUAGUUUCAUAUUUUUCUAAUUUACUUCCAAUAAAGGAGUAGGGGUCAAAUUGAAUAAUUGUGUAAAGGUUGAGGACUAAAUUUGUUAUUAUACCUUAUAUAUAAAUAACAUAUUUUAACAAAGGGAUUAUUUUGCUCACUUAUCUAAUAUACAGGGACAAAUUUGCCUAUUUUUCAGUAGAAAGGCUAAAAUACAAUCCAAAGUUUAGUAUAGGGGGUUUUGUGGUACUUUUACUUAUGACUUUGUCAUUGUUUUUUCUUAUUUCACAUAAAAUCUUGGAUUACUGCAUUACUUUGUACUUGAGUUUGGAUUCAAUGUUUAAUUUAAUACUUAGACCAAAUGGUAUUAUGUGGCUCAAUGAAUGCUUUACACGUGCUCCAGUUAAAAAAAAAAGAAGCAUAAGUACUUAAUUGGGAUACAAAAAAGCUCAUGAACUGGAUUGAAAAACACAUAGGUAUCAAGUAUCAAAUUGAACAUCAAAGUCAAACUCAACUACUUAAUUGAGAUAAAAAAAAAACUCAAGUAUCAAAUUGAAAAACAUAUAGAUACCAAAGUCAACAAUAAAGCCAAACUUAGAUACUAAAUUGGAAUAAAAAAACUUAAAUACCAAAUUAAAUAUUGAAACUAAAUUCAGUUACCAAAUAGUAUAUUAAUGCUAAUAUAUUUUAUUAUGUUAUUCUUUUUGGUUCUUUUUGUAGAAAGUUUGUUUUCUCUGCUGCUAGUUUUUCCUAACGGGGAAACAUUUCAAUUUGGUUCAUUAAUUUGACUAAGUAAGGAAGUAAUAGAAGGAUAGUUUGUGGUAUAUACGAUCUGGUUUAGAUUGGUAAUAUGUUUGUGGUAUAUACGAUCUGGUUUAGAUUGGUAAUUAUGAUUUGGAUUUGAAGAAUUAACUGUUGAAAAAAUAAAUUGCAAAACAAAAUCUAUUAGCAUUUAUUAGAAAAUAAAUAAAUGAAUUAAGAAAUAAAAAAUUUACUAUGCCGUGGUAAAUCACUACUUUAGAAACGAAUUCACCUUGAUUAGUGUAAUCGUGUAGUGGACGUCGUCCCCCAAGGUUAACAUAGUGCUUCGAUAUUUGUACACCCAAAUAAGGAAGAUGAAACUCGAUUGGUGUUGCUCUUCUCAAGGAAACCACAGUAUGAUUAAUUCUUACUAUUCUUAGGGAAACCACAAUAUGAUUAAUUCCUAGAAAAGUUUGGAGGGGUCAUAGUCAGUUCUGCUUAAAACUCAAACUCCUAGACAGAAUUUUCUUUAAAGUGAUUGAGGGGAAAAACCGACAAAGUGUUUAAGAAAAUCGGAAAAGAAGAGGAGGAAAGAGCUUUUCAGAGAGCGUUGUGUUUUCUUU